rnacentral:rRNA from 1 species
AUUGAACGCUGGCGGCAUGCUUUACACAUGCAAGUCGAACGGCAGCGCGGGAUUCGGCCUGGCGGCGAGUGGCGAACGGGUGAGUAAUACAUCGGAACGUGCCCAGUCGUGGGGGAUAGCAUGGCGAAAGCCGGAUUAAUACCGCAUACGACCUGAGGGUGAAAGCGGGGGAUCUUCGGACCUCGCGCUAUUGGAGCGGCCGAUGGCAGAUUAGCUAGUUGGUGGGGUAAAGGCCUACCAAGGCGACGAUCUGUAGCUGGUCUGAGAGGACGACCAGCCACACUGGAACUGAGACACGGCCCAGACUCCUACGGGAGGCAGCAGUGGGGAAUUUUGGACAAUGGGCGAAAGCCUGAUCCAGCAAUGCCGCGUGUGUGAUGAAGGCCUUCGGGUUGUAAAGCACUUUUAGCGGGAACGAAAAGGACUGUGCCAAUACCACGGUUCGAUGACGGUACCCAAAGAAUAAGCACCGGCUAACUACGUG